CCUACGGGCGGCAGCAGUGGGGAAUAUUGCACAAUGGGGGAAACCCUGAUGCAGCGACGCCGCGUGAGUGAGGAAGUAUUUCGGUAUGUAAAGCUCUAUCAGCAGGGAAGAAAAUGACGGUACCUGACUAAGAAGCCCCGGCUAACUACGUGCCAGCAGCCGCGGUAAUACGUAGGGGGCAAGCGUUAUCCGGAUUUACUGGGUGUAAAGGGAGCGUAGACGGCUAAUCAAGUCAGAAGUGAAAACCCAGGGCUCAACUUUGGGACUGCUUUUGAAACUGAGUAGCUAGAGUGCAGGAGAGGUAAGCGGAAUUCCUAGUGUAGCGGUGAAAUGCGUAGAUAUUAGGAGGAACACCAGUGGCGAAGGCGGCUUACUAAACUGCCACUGACAUUGAUGCUCGAAAGUGUGGGUAUCAAACAGGAUUAGAUACCCUAGUAGUC
rnacentral:rRNA from 1 species